AAGCAAUCAAAUUACGCUUUUAUUCUGCAUUUCAGAUUAACAAAGUGAAGUAGGUCGCACUUCAUAGAAAACAAAUACAGACCAGGUAAAGCGACAUAUUUAACGACUUUCAAUCCUCAGUAUACAAAAUUUUGCAUGACCAUAUCAUUAUGGUAAUACCUUACAGUAUAGGAGAAGACAGGAGUCAAGACAUUAUUAACCAUCACAAAAUAAACAUAAAAGAAAUUCUCAAACAGGAUGAAAAAUAUGGUUUUAAAUUGUUGACAGUAAUAAGCUCUUAUUCAAUGGCCAUCUGCUCCACCCUAGAUAGUUCUUCCAGAGAGAAUACAAGUGACAUCCAACUAUUCAAAAACAAGAUUCCAAAGUUCACAAUUACAUCAAAACCUUCCCAAAAUGUGUCUCUAAGCUCUCUGCUCAACAUAAGAACCAGCAAGUCCAGAAGUGCCAAGAACAGUAACCUGCAACCAAAAGACUUGAAAUAUCAGAAAUUGAAUUAUCACCUUAGCACUCAUGAAUAGGAUAACUGUAAAUGAAGCAAUGAAAAGCUUGAGUUUGCAGCACAUCCUUCAGCCCAGGGUUCUCCUAAGUAGCUGGUCAAAUAUUUGGUCUCACAGGCACAAGCAAUUAUUAAUUUAUGAUCCCCUACAUGAUGCUUUUUGACCUAAACAGGCGACAGAUGUUGGUAAUGUAUUCUAUCUAAAAUGAAGUAGAAAACUCUGUCCUGUUUAAAACAGUGAAACAAAUUUUAGUACCUUCCCCCACUCUGAACCAAGCCCACUGCAUCUCAUCUUCAAGUAUAUCAUCUUUGAUCCCAACUCCAUCUCUACUUUCUUCCGCAAAUAACCCUCAUCAGGUCCAAAUGCAUCCAAAUAGGCAGAAUAUCGUUGAUAAACUGUACGAAGUGCAUUGACAAAAUCAUCUGAUAAGGGCUUUACAUCCUACACAAAAAUUACAACCGUCAAAUUAUAAGAAUCAUGGGGACAGAAAAAAAGAGAAACAGAUCAUGUAAUUCCAUUUAAAUUAUGAAACCUCGCCACUCAAUCCAAUGCUGUCAUCAAGUUCCAUUUUCAUAGAAAUGAGCAUGCCACCAAAUUCCUCAACGGCUUCAGCUGCACAGAAAACAUUCUUCAAAAUUUCUUGGCCAGCUUUAUCAUCAGUGUUUUUAGACAAGGCAUUCUUCACAUCAUGGAUGAGUGCAUCAGGAAGCUCGUCCCAACUUGCUGCCAUUAAGUCCUUCAAAACAUUUUGAAUUUCGGGAUCUUGUAUGACAGGCAUGUGAGUUACGCCCUCACUAAAAAACCGUCUGCCUCCAAUGCCCAUCGUAAAAGAAGAUCUGAAAUCAGAAACGAUGCGAUUGCAAGGGUUAGCAACGGAAGGCGAGGAGAGAGUGAAGAGGGAUCGAGAAGCCAAGUGGUGGGUAACAGCGGCGAAACAUGAAGACCUAAAACAGGCUGCGCGGCAUAUGGAUCUCAGUAACACCAUCUUCUCCAUUUCUUUUUCUGAUUUCCUCGAAGAAUAGCUGAAUAAAAAGCAGCGACUACUGACUUCUUAGAUUAGAAAGCUAAUAUAGUAAAAUGCAGUGAGGUUACUGCAAUUUGAGCAAAGAUUCAGUUGGCAAAUGUCAGAAAAUAAUAAUGAAGUGACUGCUGUGGUUUCAUUGUGCAUGUUUUUUU
rnacentral:misc_RNA from 1 species